UGGGGAAUCUUCCGCAAUGGACGAAAGUCUGACGGAGCAACGCCGCGUGAGUGAUGACGGCCUUCGGGUUGUAAAGCUCUGUUAAUCGGGACGAAUGGUUCUUGUGCGAAUAGUGCGAGGAUUUGACGGUACCGGAAUAGAAAGCCACGGCUAACUACGUGCCAGCAGCCGCGGUAAUACGUAGGUGGCAAGCGUUGUCCGGAAUUAUUGGGCGUAAAGCGCGCGCAGGCGGAUUGGUCAGUCUGUCUUAAAAGUUCGGGGCUUAACCCCGUGAUGGGAUGGAAACUGCCAAUCUAAAGUAUCGGAGAGGAAAGUGGAAUUCCUAGUGUAGCGGUGAAAUGCGUAGAUAUUAGGAAGAACACCAGUGGCGAAGGCGACUUUCUGGACGAAAACUGACGCUGAGGCGCGAAAGCCAGGGGAGCGAACGGG
rnacentral:rRNA from 1 species